AGAGAGAGAGAGAGAGAGCGCGAGAGAGACCAGCCAGUCGCUAGAGAAGAAUGGAGAAUGCUCCACGAACACUAUCCAUCGCUUGAGGGAAUCGAUGAAGAAAGGAUGAGAUAAACACAAUUCUUCUUCACGUUACGACUUUUGCUGUCGAACUUGAUAGCCGGGGUUUUACGCAUCUCAGUGAAAACAAUUCGGAGAAUGCGUUUAGGAUGAUGGAUACCCACGCGUCAUUAGGAUUUUUGUUUCCAGAUAAAGGGAUCGAAGAAAAAUAACCAAAGCUGCUUUUUCUCCCUAUAUCUGUUUCAUCGUUAGAUUGUAAAGGUGGAGCGAUCAGAGAAGGCCGAUGACGGACCUAUUCAUCUGGUCAGUGCAUCAGAACCACCAAAAGGUUCUGGAAACGUUUGGAUGGAAAUCGGGCGAAUGUUUAGACUUGCUUUUGGUUUUAUAUGAAACUGGUGACUAGUAGUUGCGAUUUUUCUCUCUCUGUAAUUUUCAUCUUCUCAUUCAAGAAAUUAAAGUCUAACUGAGGUGAAGAUAUUUUUCGGCUUAUCAAUUUUAUUUUUAUUUUUGGUAUUUCGGUACGCUGUCCAUUUCGCAAUUCCCUUAAAUCUCAAUCGUUUCCUCUUGAAGUAUUCCUUAAUCUAAAUGGAAUUAGUUGAGCGUGAAGCCCCUUGUGAAAGGUACAGACAUGGUACAUGGGCACAGCCUCCUUCACGUUGUUGCAAGUCUACUCAUACUUGGGUUGUCUGGGGCAACGAAGAAGGAAGCAGUGAAAAACAAUUCAGGAGUGAAGCCUGCAGGACAAUGUGGCACCUGGGUGAAAGAAGGAGACGGGGGAUUGUUCACUUCUCCCAACUACCCCAGCAAAUACCCCCCAGAAGUGGAGUGUGUUUACAUUAUUGAAGCUCCUCCGAGGCUGUGUAUCGAUCUUUUCUUUGAUGAGAGGUAUUCUAUAGAGCCUUCAUGGGAAUGUAAAUUUGACAACAUCGAGGUGCGAGACGGCCCCUUUGGCUUCUCCCCAAUAAUCGGGCGCUACUGUGGCCAGACCAUCCCUCCCUUCAUCAGGAGCAGUGGACGGUACCUCUGGAUAAAAUUUGUUUCUGAUGCCGAACUGGAGGCAAUUGGAUUUUCAGCCAACUACAACUUCACUGCAGAUCCGGACUUUGGAGACUUGGGAGUGCCCCAGCCUCUGCCCUUCUGUGAGUUUGACAUGGGAGGACCAGAGGGGAUAGUGGAGUCUCAUCAGAUCACCAGAGAUGGAAAGGCUUUAGCAACAGAGGCUGUGGACUGCAAAUGGUUCAUCCGCGCUCCGCCACGCUCCAAGAUCUACCUGCGUUUCCUGGACUAUGAGAUGCAGAACAGUAAUGAGUGUAAGCGUAACUUUGUGGCGGUGUACGACGGCAGUGCGUCCGUAGAGGACCUGAAGAACAAGUUCUGCUCUACGGUGGCCAACGACGUGAUGCUGGUGUCCACCACGGGGGUGAUCAGGAUGUGGGCCGAUCAGGGAAGCCGUCGGAGCCGCUUCAGGAUACUCUUCACCACCUUCCAAGAACCUCCAUGUGAGGCGGAUGCCUUCUUCUGUCACAGUAACAUGUGCAUCAACAACACCCUGGUGUGUAACGGCAUUCAGAACUGUGUCUACCCCUGGGAUGAGAAUCACUGUAAAGAGAAGAGGAAAGCCAAUAUCCUGGACAACCUGAACAACACCAACAGCACCAUUAUCGGCGUCACCUGUUGUAUCGUCCUCAUCCUCCUCAUUGUGUCCGUCAUCGUUCAAAUCAAACAGCCCAGGAAGAAGUACAUCCUCCGGCGCGAGGACUUUGACCCCACCAUGUUCCAGGAGGUCUUCGAGCCGCCGCACUACGAGCUCUGCACGCUACGGAGCGCCACGCACGCCACUGCAGCCUCCGCAGACCUAGUCGACCUGGCAGAGGACUUCGAGAACUACCACGCUCUCCGCCGCUCAUCCUCACGCUGCGUCCAUGACCACCACUGUGGCUACGCCUCCAACCCGGGCUCCGCCCACCUGUCCCAGCUGUCACUCAGUGGGCGGGGUAGCCGCGGCAACCUGAGCACGCGCGAGACCCUCCUCACGGACCUUCCACCACAGCCGGUACGGCCGCUGCUGCCCAGCGUUGCCACAGGGAACCGGCGCAGUAUACUGGUGAUGAAGCACAGCUACUCACAGGAAGCGGCCGACAACGGGUGCGACCUCGAUGACGACCUGGAAGAGGUUCCCACGACGAGCCACCGACUGUCGCGUCACGAGAAGGCAGUCCAGCGGUUCUGCCUCAUUGGCUCUUUGAGCAAACACGAAUCAGAAUACAACACGACUAGGGUGUAAGGCAAUCUCAAGAUUUUUUGAUAUGGUUCAUUGUUGUCAUCAAGAUGGUUCCUCUGCUUGCGGUCAUCUUGGUUUAUGACUUCUUGAGAAUAGUGCAAUCCUGGAUCAGUACGAACGGGCUUCAAUGAAAUAUGAAAAUACGGACCGGAGAUUCACAUCAGCAUAAUGGCAAUGGUGAUGGUGAUGAAGAACUUAUGGAAAUAGAGAAUAUGAAAUAUGUAACAAACUGGAAGAAAGUAGCUACAGUGAUAAAAACAAUUGCCUGUGAAUAGACUGGCUUAAAAUCAUUGAAACUUGAAUUUAAGUAGGCUUCUAAUCAGACCCACUAUUGUCACUUCAGAUUUUGUAUUCUUAUUGACUGGACAUUAAACAAGGUACAUUAUUAUCAAACAAAACCUUGGAUGAAUAUCUACAUUGUGAGAUGCAAGUUUGUUGCUCAAAAUCAUCAAUGGACUAUUGUGAUUAGAAAACCUUCCUCAGUUCAAUGUUUAGAGCAUGUGAUUUUGUAGGAUUUUUGCAGCAUAUUAUAAAUGGUAUUUUGGGGUAUCAAUGCUUGCAAUUUUUCAGUUUGAGGAAAGAUGUAACAUUUAUCAGUAAUAAUUAGGCAAUAAAGGUAACUCAGUAACUAACCUCAGUGUAAUUACCCCUCUCUGAAUAAGAAAAAAAAAACUUUAUAUGAUAAUUGAAAAUGCUAUGGUAUGACUUGUGCAUGCUUUUUAUAUCCAUUAAAACAUGAACAAACUAACAUCUAGAUUGAAAGUCAUCCACUAAUGCACUACAUGCAUCUCAGUUAUAAAUAGGUUCACUAUAACAUAAACAAAGGAAAUCUAUCCAUAAAAGUAUUAUGAGUGGUAUUAAUUGAUUGCAUGCUAAUUCAACUAAAUUGAAAGUCAAAUGUCAAUACAAAACUAAUCUUUAACAUUUUCAUUUUCAAAUGUUGAUUCCUCUCACAAAUUUAAAAAAAAAAUUCAAAGUGUAGUUGUUUAUUAUUUGACAUAAACAAUGUAAAUUCAGUUGAUUUGUCACACCCUCUCUUUUCGUAGCCUGUAAUCUUUGUACUCAGACUUUUCUACUGGGGGUAUUUGAAAAGAGGAGACUUUUGAAAGACAUAAAUAAUACUGUUCAGGACUGAUUUUAUGAAUGCUUUGUAAGAAAAUAAACAAUAAAAGCUUAAUCAUUUUUAUUUUAAGGUUUUAUCUAAUUAUUUGGUUAUGUGUUUCACCAGUCCUUAUUGUUCAAAUGAAAUUAAAUUAAAUUAAUUUGGUUGCAAGUAAAUAAAUAUGAAUGCAAACAUACACACAUGUACGCACACAACACACACACACACACACAUGCACACACACACACACACACACACACACACACACACACACACACACACACACACACACACACACACACACACACACACACACACACACACACACACACACACACACACACACACACACACACACACACACUCUCACAAACGCACCCCAUUAAGGUACACCGUUUAGCCACACUAGGACUAUACUAAAUCAAAACAUUUUGAUCUCCACUCAAAUGUUAUGUAAUUCCAGUCCAUUUUCACUUGAACAUUAUCAGGGAGGUGUUACAAUGUCGACAAUAGGAUCUAUGUUAUUGCCUGCAUGGUUUGUCUACACUACAUCAUUGCAACUACGCUGACGCCUUCAAUAUCCCAACAAUAAAUCAAUCUUUAGUUUCAUUUGA